GAUGAACGCUGGCGGCGUGCUUAACACAUGCAAGUCGAACGGAAAGGCUCCUGCUUGCAGGGGUACUCGAGUGGCGAACGGGUGAGUAACACGUGGGUGAUCUGCCCUGCACUUCGGGAUAAGCCUGGGAAACUGGGUCUAAUACCGGAUAGGACGAUGGUUUGGAUGCCAUUGUGGAAAGUUUUUCGGUGUGGGAUGAGCUCGCGGCCCAUCAGCUUGUUGGUGGGGUAAUGGCCUACCAAGGCGUCGACGGGUAGCCGGCCUGAGAGGGUGUACGGCCACAUUGGGACUGAGAUACGGCCCAGACUCCUACGGGAGGCAGCAGUGGGGAAUAUUGCACAAUGGGCGCAAGCCUGAUGCAGCGACGCCGCGUGGGGGAUGACGGCCUUCGGGUUGUAAACUCCUUUCGCUAGGGACGAAGCGCAAGUGACGGUACCUGGAGAAGAAGCACCGGCUAACUACGUG
rnacentral:rRNA from 1 species